UACAGAGGUCCCAAGCGUUGUUCGGAUUCACUGGGCGUAAAGGGUGCGUAGGCGGUUGGGUAAGUCUGAUGUGAAAUCUCACAGCUUAACUGUGAAACUGCAUUGGAUACUAUCCGGCUAGAGGAAUGGAGGGAGACUUGGAAUACUUGGUGUAGCAGUGAAAUGCGUAGAUAUCAAGUGGAACACCAGUGGCGAAGGCGAGUCUCUGGACAUUUCCUGACUGAGGCACGAAAGCCAGGGAGCAAACGGG
rnacentral:rRNA from 1 species